rnacentral:lncRNA from 1 species
AAGAUACAAGGAGCGCUUAUCACAGAAAAACUGAGAUCCGUUGAUGUGAAUACUUCUCAGUUGAGGAGUGAUAUUGCGACAUUGGUAGAGAGGAGAGAGAAAUUUAACAACAACAUAGAUCAAGUGACGAAAGAGGUCCGUAAGGUAGUUCACAGCUAUCUAAACAUGAUUCGCCGGCAUGAAACAAGCGUGACGGAAAAUUUGGCGAGGAAGAAAUCGCUAUAGAAUGAUGUUGUUUCCCAGGAGUUGUCGAAACUCACCGAUAAACUAGAAAAAAUGGCUGGUGUUGCGAUCCGUGGUAGAGCCGCGAUCCUUGAAAACAAUAACAUAGAGGAAAUGAUAAGCGUCAAACAAGUUCUCGAUGAAUUGAUUUCAGAGAAAGUUUCAACAUUGCCUAGAUAUCCAGACUUAAAAUACAUCCCAAAUGCCAUCCCUCGAAAUUUUACCACAGGAAUGCUGUAUAUAAGUCACACAGAACCUUCUUUGAUGGUCAGAUAACUUACAGUGAAAUUGACAAGGUUACUGUGGAGGUUACAUCUGUACGGAAGGGAAUCAAAGACAAUCCAGUUGUUAUAAAGGACUUGAAAGACGGCCGCUAUUCUGUAUCCUACACACCGAAUGCCUCUGGCGUAUUCGGGGUCUCACUCAAAGUACGAGCUGAACUUAUCCGAGAGAGCCCCUUUGAACUGUUCAUUCACAAAAGUCUGAAGUCUGACGUCUUUAAAGGAGCUAAAUGUCAAGGUCCUGGAAUGAUUACUACAGCACCUACCACUAUGGUAGAGAUGACCGACCACUCGGAGUCGGUCAAAUGACGACUGGGACGUUUGAGCGUCGAAGAGUUGGCGAGAACUGUGGUGAUAUCGAACAUACCGAGACAAAUUACGAAAGAUGAAAUUACCAUACAUUUCCAGAAAAGGAAAAACGGCGGGGGAGAAGUCUAUGAUAUUUGGAUGACAAAGGAUGGGCAUGCAGUCAUAGUCUUUGAAGGACCUGGAGCUGCUGACAGGAUAUUAGAGCGCACUCAUGUACUUGGGGGUAAAGUGGUGGAUGUUAGACCAAGCCACGCCCAAAAGCAAGUCAAAGAAGACUAUCAGGAGAUAGUUGAAGCGUGCACCUUUGAAGCUGAACCAAGUUCAUGAAAUUAUUUAGAAGGGUACACAAGGAAAAACUUAAACAAAUACAGAGGGAGUACCACUUAAUGAUAUUUUUGCCUCAAAAUAAGGCUCGAGCAGAGAUCAAACCUACACCUUUAACCGAAGAAACAAACUAUCAAGAAGGAUGCGAUGCUUUUAUUGCUUUGUACCAAACCAGCCAUCAAACCGUGACGCGACAGAUGAUUGAUGUAAGAGACAUCCACGAUGAUGGGAAAAUCAAGGAGGCGAUUACAUUCGUGGAAAGCAAACAUCCCGUCUUCAUUGAGAAAGUAGAAGGUCAGUUAAGCGUUUACGGCGAGGAAAUUCAUCUUGAACGCUCGGCAGGCUCUGAUAAAACGUUUGGCAACCUUAGGAAAGGUCAAAAGAACAUAAAUGUCAUUCGCAUCACCAUCAUGAACCGCAAUUAACUAAGAUCCUUCUACAGAUGUUGACAAAUAACGUACUGGUAUCCUUAUACCAGUGACUGAGACAUAACUGAUGAGAAAGUCCAUACCAUUGUCAACCCAGCUCACCCCUGGCUUGAACGUUCACAAGACGGUGUAAUUGGUACAAAUUUUAUAAAAGGGCGGAGUCAAAUAAUACAUGAUUCUCUAUAUGUUAUGUCUCGUCGUGAAGUCCCUCUACAACCUGGUGAAACUGUUUACACCUGAAUAUAAGCCGGCAG